UGUCCACCAAGAACCUCACGGGUAAAUCCUCAGACGUGGCAACGAAGUGAUGACGCAGGAUCCAUUAAAAAGCAACAAGAUAACUCACGCGGUGUAACCGGAACCUGGCAAGAAAGUCAGGAAGGAAUGUGUUCGCUGCUUCAUGGGUUCCUCUGGGCGUCCCCUUUUCCUGGUGCCCACUCGCUAAUUUCUUGGCUCGUUUCUUUGUUCUGGAAACUGUUUCUCAACAUUGCCCUGGGGAACAGAGCUUCACCUGGCGAUAAUCCACCCCCCUCCGUGUGUCCCGGGGCACCGUGGCCUGGUUAGAGUGGUUUGUUCCAGACCUCCGUGCCCAGAGGACACUCAGCUCACCGAGGAUAGGGAUCCAGCAUCUCCUUCCAGCCUGGAGGCCCAGGCCAGGGCGGUGGACGACGUUCACUGGGAGGAGGCUGCUUCCGAGUCCACCCCUGGGCGGGAACGGGCUCGGGUCUCCCCAGACCACAGAGCUCGCCAGGAUCAUCCCGGGUCUGCUCUAUAGUAGGGCCUGAAGCACGUGCUGAACCAGCGAUAAUGUUCCUUUUUUGACUUUUGGGCAAAUUUUCACAUAAGGAAAAAAAAAGCCUUAUUGAGACACAAUUGACAUUUUGAAAGGUGCUCAUGUUGAAGAUGGUAAGUUUGACAUCUGUCCCUGCCUGUGAAGCCCUCACCACGGUCAGGGUAAGGGCCCUCCCUCCCCUCGCCCGCGAGACCCCUCUCACCCCGUCCUGCCCCACUGAGGUGACCGGGUCUGUGUUCGCUCGCGGGAUGUUGGUCUUUGUCCCGGUUCCUGGAAUGUCUUGGUCUGAUUUGGACACUUCAGGGUCAGCCCUGCCCCCUGGGAUGAGUUCAGGAGCAUUCCUGCCCUUUCCACGUUUUGGGUGAGCGUGGGCAGAACUGCUUAUAUUAGUCUUUUCUUAAAUGUUUGGCAGGACUUCCUGCGGAAGCUUCCCUUCUUCGCGGGAAGGUGAGCUUACAGUGAGUCCCGAUCGGUCAAGGCAGCAUUUUCUUCCCGAAUGAGCACGGGUAGACGGUGUCCCCAAGGCGCUUGCCCUCCUAAAGUUGUUCCUUUUCGCCCCUUAACAUCUGCGGGGCCGUUCCUGAUGCCACUCCUCUGGCUUCUGGUGACAAAUGCUGUUACCUGACUAGUCUGCAGGAGACUCAUCCGUUUUCCUGACCUUCGCAAAAACCUACCUUUUGGCUUCAUUGAGUUUUCUCCUUUUUUCUGGUUUUUGUUUUGUUAAUUUCCUUUCUUCUACUUGGGAUUCCACUGGCCCUUGCACACCCAGCCGAGUGCUCGAUGCCGAGUGGAUCCCUGGGGUUUUCCUGCUCCCCCUGGUGCAUUCUUCUCCGCACACUGCCCUGAGUCAGCUGCCUCGGUCUCCCCAGAGGCACAGCAUCAUCCCCUCCUGUAGGGCGUGACCUCUGGGGUGCUUGUAUGGUCUCAGGGAUCAUGUCCUUUGUCGACCCACAUGUACGGUCCUCACAAUACUUGCUUUGUGUCUUUUGUGGGCUUUUAGGUCGCUUCAGACAGGAGAGCAAGUCCAGUCCCUCAAAAGUGUAAUUUCCCCACUCGCUUUUGUUUCUAAUUUGAAAAAAAUUUAAAUUAUUCUGCAACAAAGUGUAUUAAAAAAGUAAGUAACAGUUGGGGUGCCUGGGUGGCUCAGUCGGUGAAGCGUCCGACUUCGGCUCAGGUCGUGAUCUCACAGUUUGUGAGUUCGGGCCCCGCGUCGGGCUCGGUACUGACAGCUUGGAGCCUGGAGCCUGCUUCAGAUUCUGUGUCUCCCUCUCUCUGCCGCUCGUGCUGUCUCUCAAAAAUGCGUAAACAUAAAACAAAAUUAAAGAAAAAAAGUAACAGAAGAAGCAAGCAGCCACUGGCUUCACAUGCCUAAGUCUAGAUUGAAAAAGAAUUAAAAACCAUGCCACCCUGCUGUCCCCCCUUUGCCUUUGGAAUGCUGUUGUAUCAGCUUGGUCGCAAAGUCUAGGUAGAUUGAAAUGACGUGAGUUUUUACCUGACCCACAGGGGCGCGGUGGCGAUGGCCCUGGUUGGGCAGCCGUCCCCGGGAUUCUGCUGUGAGUCAGGGGCCGGCACACCGUGGCCACGGCCAGCGUGAUCGCUGCCCGCCUUGUAGAUUGAUCUGUACGAGUGUGUGCCGGGCCCCCUGGGCUGUUUUAUCUACGGCGGCUUUCCAGUUCCAAAGGCAGAGUUGCGUAGCUGUGAGAAGCCAAAAUAGUUACAAUCUGGCCCUUUACCAAAUGUUUGCUGUCAGAGCGACUCGGGGACCCGGGCUCUGGCCAUGCACUGCUGCCCUUAGACCCUGCCCUCCACGCUGUCCUGGAGGCACAGAGAAGGUGAGCGAACGCUGAGGGGGAGGUUCUAUGCCCUGGGCCGCCGCAGGUGACACACUGCUUGCGCUCACGUGCUGUCUCCCGCCCCGCCCACGGAACGUCACUUAGUGCACCCCCAGGAAGUGCCAUGCAUUUCAGGCAUCUCGAGUUUCUGCACCGUUGUGGGGGACACUGUGGUGCCUGAUGACCGUGCCCCGAGUCAGGCCCCUCUUCCCGUCCCGUCCGCCACAGGCACUGCCAUUCAGGGCACAGAGCAGCUCUGAGCGCCCCUUGUGACACAGGUCAGCUGGAUGGCAGGAUGCUGCUGGCCAUGUUUCUCAGUGUGGUGUGACCUAACAGGGGCCUCGCCCCCAGCCCUGUUCACUUUGCUCCAGCUGUGGGCUUAGAAAAUACCAUCACAGGUAAACGGAGGCUAACAACUUGCUUCCUCUCCUUCCAGCAAAAGAAUUUUGUUGUCUGGGGUUAAAGGCAGUGUAUUUAUCCCCCGUAGAGAGUCUCUGGGUGCGGUUAUGUUCAGUAGGUGGAGGAUAGUUCAGGGAUUGUAACUCCUGGAUCAGAGCCACAUUUCUCCUAAGCCAGUUGCUUAACCAAAGACUUCUCGGAGGGCUGACGGAUUUGGGCUGGUGUCCGUCCUAGGUGAUCAGAGAUCAUGUGGAGGUGAUGGGAGGCAGAGGGAGAAAAACCAGGAGGAAACAGUGCUCGGCUUGGAUCGUCAGUUUCUGGAACCAGAAUCUGCUGUUUUUGAGGUUUGGGAUGGAAACCGUGCCUGUCCAGCUGCCCGCGUGUGGGGCACACUUGGCCUGCGCCUGUCUGCGGGGCACUGGCUCUUCCUGUUUGUUUCCCGAGAUUCUGACGUUGUGCACAAGUCUGUACGGUCCUUGGACAUUUGCCCCGAGGCCUUCUGUCUCGGGCCCUCAGCUGCUCGUCAGGGCUCACCUCUCGUACGCACUCGGCCAGUUGCACGUGUGCCCAGGGGCCUUCCUGCUGAAGGAAGGCUGAGCCUUCGGGGAGGAAGCUGCAAAACUGCCCUCUCACCCACGCGUCGCACUGUCCAGUUUCUCUUUCUUACGGUGUUUUGAAAGUGUUUCGUUCAAGCUCUACGUGUUCAUAACAAAAAUGUGAGAAUACAGAGGGACCGAACAAAACAGAUAACGUGCAUUCCUAUCGUCGGAGGAAACUUACGGGAUGGGGCUUGCCUGUCAGAUGCACGUGUGCCCAUUCACGUGUGUGUACGUACGGACACGGAGAUGCUGGUGCUUCUGUUUUCCUACAGCUUCUUCUCUGUCUCUGUCUCUGUCGUCUGUGCACCUGCAGUACUCCAUUCGUAUCUUUGGCCGGUCUUCCACACACCUAUCUGUAUCAUCUGCUUCCCCAUCAUCCGUCUGCCCGCCUGUCUGUCUGCCUGUCUGAAUGUCCACCCACCCACCCAUCUGCCCAUUCAUCUAUCCAUCCGUCCAUCCACCCUUCUAUCAUCUGUAAACAUUGAGGCACAAUUUGUGUCCUUCUCUGUAGUGCACAUCACAGCACAUUGUGCCCCUGUGUCUGUGUGAUAAUGAAAGGUCUGUACCAUCUUUGCUCAUGGCCACGUAGCAUUUCUUUGCUCAGAAUCACCAAAUUUAUUGAACUCCUUUUUUAUGGGUCAUUUCUUUGUGUCCACGCUUCUGCUAUUUUAAACAGUACCCUCUCAAUGCCAUUGUGUGUGUAUUUUGGUUACUUCCGGGCACGUUUUUGUAAUCUGCAACAUCUUGUUCGGCACCGAGAAUUCUGGUCAACGCAUUGUGGGCUUUUCUAGGUCUGUUUCCUUCCUGGACACAGUCGGUGUUUUCCUGAGGACAGGCGUCCUCCGUUGGCCGAGCGUCCGUCCCGGUGACAGAACUAGUCCCGUCAGGCCAAGGGGAGUCUCGGGACAGGCGUCCUCUGUCGCCUGAGCGUCAGUCCCUUCCCGCUGAGAGAACGAGUCCCUUCGGGGCCGUUUCUCGUUGUUCUCGGGCAGGACAGUGCACGGGGCAUCCCUCGGAUGCCUGGACCCUGGAAACGUGGAAACGUGGUGUGUGUACCUGUUUCCUCACUCGGGCUUCCGCUGGAGGCCAGAUGUUCCUGGCUUGGUCGGUGCUCAUGGUUGGCCGUCUGUCUUGGAGCGGCAGUCGCCCUGACACCCCAGAACCUGCCCUGGGAGGAGCUCCGCAAUUGGCACCUGGGCCCCUGGCAUCCUGCUCCUGAAGGCCGUGUUUGCAGUGGGUCCUCCUUGUUCGCAGUGGUCCUGUUCCCUAAGGUCACUGCAGACACGGGUCAGCGACCCUGAACCGUCCGUCCUGGGGACCUGCAGGCCUGUUCCUGGGAGUCUCGUCACAACACUGUCAUCAACCCAACAGUGGAUGGCCUUUUGUGUGUGUUUCUGUUUAAAGACACUGUAUUUAAUGCAGACUCCGGACUGACCCGCCAUGAAGUCCCAGCCAACAGCGUGCAGCUCCAGCCGGAGUAAAGCUCAUCCCACACACCUGUUUUCUCCUGAGGCCCGUCAGGGCUCUCGAACUCAGAACUGGACAGGACUCCAGCGCCAUGCUCGGGGACAGUUUUAAGCUGCGAAGUCACCCGAAGAGAGCACAGGAAUGCAGGCAGCCUAGCACUCAGUGGGCAGCAAGAAGGACACCUGUUCACGGCCUGAGCAGGAGCCAGACGGCAGAGGGUCACCUGGCUGUCCUCUGCGCUAGGAACACGGGCGUCCGGCCCCUCAGGCUCUCUGCCACUCCUUCCGGUCCUCGAGUGAUGGCAAAAGCUCCGUGAGGAUUGAUUUUAGGGUCAAGUGUGCAGAUAUGGAAUCCCCGGAUCACGAGGAUCGAGUGUGCUGUCGGUAUUCUGGGUGGAGACGCUGUGACCUGAGGGACAAGGGAGGUGUCCCCCAGUGCAGCCACCACACCCCACGCGCCCCUGUGCGACCUUCUCGUUUCUGAGCCCAUGGGUUCCGGGAGGUACGAACAAGGCAGGCCCCUGCGAACACCUGCUGGGUCUGCCCAGCGUCUCACAGGACAAAGUGCCCUGAACGACUUUGAGCGACUUCGACCGACUUCAGCGUCCAAAGUCAUUACAUUUAGUUGCUAUUUGAACACGUCCUAAGGAACCCAGUGUGUGGGGCACCCCAGGUUAGGUGCCGUGGUCUGAGGGCAGGGUGAUAACUGUGCUCAGAUCCUGGCCCCGCACCUGCCAGGGGAGCUCAUUCACCCUGGGGCCUCGGUUUCCCCGUCUGUAGAGGCGUUUCGAGGAGUGAGGAAGAACACACGUGUGCAUCUGCUAACACGGCCUGGCCAGGAGACGCUUCUGCCGUGGAGACUUGGCUUGUGGUUUGAGUGUACUGAAUUAAACUGUGGGGCUGUGCCAGCAGAGGCAGGCAGGCAGGCGCCCCAGGCCCAGGGAGGAGGGGUGUGAUGUUGUGACAGCCGCGUGUUCUUCCUGGUGGCUGCGGGGCCACCGAUGGCGCUGUCACUCUGUGCCCUCACUUUGAUUGAAUCACAUACUUGUGAUUCAGACAGGAACUACCACUAAGCAUAAUGCAUUUUCCAUGCACCUCAGGUGCCGUUUUCUCUAACAGACCAAACUGCCAACGUGAAACUCGCCCCACGCGGACAGCACUUGCGAGGAUCCAGGAAGUGCUUGGUGACGGCCAGUUCCCGCCCUUCCCAACUUUUGUAACAUGCCACUCUGGCAGCGAACUGGCGUUAAUUAUUGGCUAAGGCCUGAGGACAGGGACAGAAGAAAUUCAGAGUUACUCCUGGUAAAUGUAAGGCUGACAUUACUACAUUUUGCCUUUGCAGUGAUUGGAGCUCUUGAAUUGUUAUUUUCUCUCUUUGGGGGGGAAGAAAGCGUUUACUGCUCUUGGGCAAGAAGAUUUCUUUACUCAGAAGUGUUGUGCAAAGAAACCUGACUUCCCAGACCUCUGGGAGUGUGUGUCACCAGAGGAUACGGCUUCACUUCCCUUCAUGGCUUCCGUUAGGGAAGGGGACCCAGAUUAGGCUCGUCACUUCCUGGAGUGGAACAAUAUUUCUGAUGUUCUGUACUCAGCUGCACAGCACUUUAACUUUUAAAAAUAGCGAUUAAAGUGGAUACAGUUA